rnacentral:lncRNA from 1 species
AAAAUACUCCAACUACUCUGUGCAGUUGGACCGAACUCUGUGAUUAAAUCUUCGCGUGAUUUUUAUUUGCGUUUUGAAUGAAGACUUGAUUUUUUUUUCGUUUUAUAUGAUCUCGCAAUAGAAAUUGCUUUAGGCCUCUAGCUAUGCGGGAUCGACCCUGCAUCCAGUGAAAUCACAUCAGUACCACUUUUAUAGGUUUGUUACUAAAAUAUAACCUCAAAUGUCUACAUGUAAUAAUUUGAUUAAAAGUAAAUGUAAAAUGGUUUUACACGUAUAUAUAAACUAAAUCUUUAAAAAAAUCAAAUAAAUAUACUUUUUUGUUAGGGCAUAUUGUCGUGAUUUUUAAUAAGAAUUGUGAGUUAUAAAAAUAAAAAUCAUUUGAAGGAAGUAAAUUUCAAUUUUUUAUUUACAAAUUUUAAAAAUAUUUAAUUUUAUUAUACCCACGUAAAAUUAAGUGCUUAGCACACAACACACACUCAAAACAUAUGACGUACUUACCAUCAAACACAACCACACACACUCAAAACCAUAUGAUAUACUUUCCUUAAACACCAACAAGAACUUAACCAAAAUGGUAUGCAGCAGCUUUUGCAUGAUUAGAAUAGAAGCCACAUUAUAUACAUCAUCCAUAAACUCAUGAUCAUUGCUAUUUGCCUCCAAAAAAAAUUCAUAAGAAAAACACACUUCAAGGUUCUCUACACCCGUAAACACACUUUUCAGCUAAAUGUUUGAACGUAUAAUAGAGUGCCAAAUGUGAGUGACACAUUUGAGUAUA